AAAGAAAAUAAUAAAUAAUAUUAUAUAACGCUCACCAAUACACUAAUUCAUAUAUAGAACAUUAAAUACGUAUUUAGAAUAUUCGAGGAUUGGUACGAAUAAACCGUCAUGCGCAUGUACGCAUCUCGCUAUUUUGCACGCUGGUGCACGCGCAACCGACGCAACGCCGCAACAUGAUGACGUGCGCGAGGUUAGCAGCGAGUCAGUUUUUAGUUUUAUGCAUAAUUUGCAUAUUUUACAUCGUGAAGGAAAAUACGACUGUGCUUAAUUUGAAGUUUAGUCUAACACAAUGGGUUGUAUAAUCAGAUAAGUCUCACAAAAUUUUUAUUUUUUUGUAUGGAGUAAGUAUUCUGAGAUAAGAUUAAUACUUUGUGUUAUGUUUUAUUUUUAGUUAUAUUAAAAGCAAGAAAGGAAGAAACACUUUAUUUGAGCGUAAAGUAGAAGAAAGAAUAGACGAGUAAGGAAAGAAAGAUAUAAAAGAGAGAUCAACCUCACAGCUUGGAAUUUACAGUGUGCCGAACAGAAUAUGUGGACCUUGAAGCUUAGCGAACCAUUAUAUAAAGAAUUGGCAGAGCAAUUCAUAUCAAAAGGAUUAUCCAAAGGUGUACCUCCUAGUUCUUCAAGUAUGUCAUUAUCUUAUGGCAGGCUAGGUAAGAGAAUAAUGACAAAUGUUAUAAUUUUAUUUUAAUAUUGUAUUGCAACUAUGUGACUCUUAAAGGUAUCGUACAACCAUCUUUUUUAGAUUACUGAAAUAAAUAAAAAGCGAAAUCUGAUCUGAAACAAUUACAACAAAGUAUACAGACUAAUGUCACUCAACUAACCUGCCGAUGAUGUGGUCGCAGGCUGUAAUAUAGGAAAUAUGUUUAUGAAUGUCAAAGAUUAUCUGUAGGUCUUAGUCAUUUAGUAACUGUUAUGCAUUUUGUGUCAGCCAGAUAUACGCCUCAGAAUUAUAUUGAUAAAGCU